rnacentral:rRNA from 1 species
UUUAAGGUCUAGCCUGCCCAAUGAGGAUUUUAAUGGCCGCAGUAUUUUGACUGUGCAAAGGUAGCAUAAUUAUUAGUUUUUUAAUUGAAAGCUUGUAUGAAGGGUUGGACGAGAUAAAAUCUGUCUUUAUUUAAAUUAAAAUAUAAUUUAACUUUUAAGUAAAAAGGCUUAAAUGUUUAUAAAAGACGAGAAGACCCUAUAGAUCUUUAUUUAAUUAAAAUUUUAAUAAUUUAGGAUUAUUUUAAUUUAAAGUUUUAAUUAAAUUUUAUUGGGGUAAUAUAAAGAUUAAAUAAAUUCUUUUUAUUUAUAACAUAGAUUUAUGAAUAUAUGAUCCAUUAAUAUUGAUUAUAAGAUUAAGUUACCUUAGGGAUAACAGCGUAAUUUUUUUGGAGAGCUCAUAUCGAUAAAAAAGUUUGCGACCUCGAUGUUGGAUUAAAAAUUAGCUUGGGUGCAGAAGCUCAAGAUUUUGGUCUGUUCGACCAUUAAAUUUUUACAUGAUCUGAGUUCAGACCGGCGUAAGCCAGGUCGGUUUCUAUCUUUAUAAAGAUAAAAUGUUUUAGUACGAAAGGACCAGACAUUUAAUAUAAUUAUAUUUUAUUUUU